rnacentral:rRNA from 1 species
UACAGAGGUCUCAAGCGUUGUUCGGAUUCAUUGGGCGUAAAGGGUGUGUAGGUGGCGCGCUAAGUCGGGUGUGAAAUUUCGGAGCUUAACUCCGAGACUGCAUUCGAUACUGGCGUGCUUGAGGACUGGAGAGGAGACUGGAAUUCAUGGUGUAGCAGUGAAAUGCGUAGAGAUCAUGAGGAAGACCAGUGGCGAAGGCGGGUCUCUGGGCCGAUACUGACGCUGAGACGCGAAAGCGUGGGGAGCGAACAGG